UACAGAGGGGGCAAGCGUUGUUCGGAAUUACUGGGCGUAAAGGGCGUGCAGGCGGUCUGUUAAGUCUAGGGUGAAAGCUCCCGGCUCAACUGGGAGAGGUCCUUGGAUACUGGCGGACUUGAGGAGGUAGAGGAGAGUGGAAUUCCCGGUGUAGUGGUGAUAUGCGUAGAUAUCGGGAGGAACACCAGUGGCGAAGGCGGCUCUCUGGGCCUUACCUGACGCUGAGACGCGAAAGCGUGGGGAGCGAACCGG
rnacentral:rRNA from 1 species